rnacentral:rRNA from 1 species
UGAAGCAACAAAUGCCCUGCUUCCAGGAAAAGCCUCUAAGCAUCAGGUAACAUCAAAUCGUACCCCAAACCGACACAGGUGGUCAGGUAGAGAAUACCAAGGCGCUUGAGAGAACUCGGGUGAAGGAACUAGGCAAAAUGGUGCCGUAACUUCGGGAGAAGGCACGCUGACACGUAGGUGAAGUGAUUUACUCAUGGAGCUGAAGUCAGUCGAAGAUACCAGCUGGCUGCAACUGUUUAUUAAAAACACAGCACUGUGCAAACACGAAAGUGGACGUAUACGGUGUGACGCCUGCCCGGUGCCGGAAGGUUAAUUGAUGGGGUCAGCGCAAGCGAAGCUCCUGAUCGAAGCCCCGGUAAACGGCGGCCGUAACUAUAACGGUCCUAAGGUAGCGAAAUUCCUUGUCGGGUAAGUUCCGACCUGCACGAAUGGCGUAAUGAUGGCCAGGCUGUCUCCACCCGAGACUCAGUGAAAUUGAACUCGCUGUGAAGAUGCAGUGUACCCGCGGCAAGACGGAAAGACCCCGUGAACCUUUACUAUAGCUUGACACUGAACAUUGAGCCUUGAUGUGUAGGAUAGGUGGGAGGCUUUGAAGUGUGGACGCCAGUCUGCAUGGAGCCGACCUUGAAAUACCACCCUUUAAUGUUUGAUGUUCUAACGUGGACCCGUUACCCGGGUUGCGGACAGUGUCUGGUGGGUAGUUUGACUGGGGCGGUCUCCUCCUAAAGAGUAACGGAGGAGCACGAAGGUUGGCUAAUCCUGGUCGGACAUCAGGAGGUUAGUGCAAUGGCAUAAGCCAGCUUGACUGCGAGCGUGACGGCGCGAGCAGGUGCGAAAGCAGGUCAUAGUGAUCCGGUGGUUCUGAAUGGAAGGGCCAUCGCUCAACGGAUAAAAGGUACUCCGGGGAUAACAGGCUGAUACCGCCCAAGAGUUCAUAUCGACGGCGGUGUUUGGCACCUCGAUGUCGGCUCAUCACAUCCUGGGGCUGAAGUAGGUCCCAAGGGUAUGGCUGUUCGCCAUUUAAAGUGGUACGCGAGCUGGGUUUAGAACGUCGUGAGACAGUUCGGUCCCUAUCUGCCGUGGGCGCUGGAGAACUGAGGGGGGCUGCUCCUAGUACGAGAGGACCGGAGUGGACGCAUCACUGGUGUUCGGGUUGUCAUGCCAAUGGCACUGCCCGGUAGCUAAAUGCGGAAGAGAUAAGUGCUGAAAGCAUCUAAGCACGAAACUUGCCCCGAGAUGAGUUCUCCCUGAGACUUUAGGUCUCCUGAAGGAACGUUGAAGACGACGACGUUGAUAGGCCGGGUGUGUAAGCGCAGCGAUGCGUUGAGCUAACCGGUACUAAUGAACCGUGAGGCUUAACCUUACAACGCCGAAG